rnacentral:rRNA from 1 species
GCAAGUCGCGCGAUCCUUCGGGAUAGCGGCAAACGGGUGAGUAACGCGUAGGCAAUUUUCCUUAAAGACAGGCACAGUAACGCGAAAGCGUUAGUAAUUCCUGAUGUGGCCUCAGUAUCGCAUGGUACAGAGGUUAAAGGUGGGGAUUCUUCGGAACCUACCGCUUUAAGAUGAGCCUGCGUCCUAUCAGCUUGUUGGUGAGGUAAUGGCUCACCAAGGCGUAUGACGGGUAGCUGGUCUGAGAGGAUGAUC